rnacentral:rRNA from 1 species
UACAGAGGGUGCAAGCGUUAAUCGGAGUUACUGGGCGUAAAGGGCGCGUAGGCGGUCGGAUAAGUCUUGUGUGAAAUCUUCGGGCUCAACUCGAAGUCUGCACAGGAAACUAUCUGGCUUGAGUGUGGGAGAGGUGAGUUGAAUUCCCGGUGUAGCGGUGAAAUGCGUAGAGAUCGGGAGGAACACCUGCGGCGAAAGCGGCUCACUGGACCACAACUGACGCUGAUGCACGAAAGCUAGGGGAGCAAACGGG